GGGGCUUUAGCUCAGUGGUAGAGCGCGUGCUUUGCAUGCAUGAGGUCACCGGUUCGAACCCGGUAAGUUCCA
rnacentral:tRNA from 1 species